UGGUAGGACAGCACUGACUGGAACGGGUUAGUCGAGGACUGAAAGGCUGAAUACCCACCAUGCCAAUAGAAGGGCCCAAACCUCCAGUCAUUUCCAUCUGGUGGUUCUUCAUGAUGUAUGCGAGGAGCUCCCUCCAAUUGUAGCCGUCAGGAAUGGCGAUGGUGGUCACUGAGGGAAGCCUCAGCUCCUGCAGAGCAUUGCACCAAAUCAGCACUGACAACGAUGCAAGGGAUGAAAAGUUUGAGGCCCAAGUCUUCAAGUCCUUUGUACAGGUAGGAUGCCACCUCCUUGUGUUUCCUCCAUGACUCCUCCAGCCCCUAGUCGGUGACAAACAUCAGUGUUCUUCAGCUCCCUCUUAAUAGACUAAAUCAGUGGUUCUUAACCAGGGUUCG